rnacentral:rRNA from 1 species
CCUACGGGAGGCAGCAGUGGGGAAUAUUGCACAAUGGGGGAAACCCUGAUGCAGCGACGCCGCGUGAGUGAAGAAGUAAUUCGUUACGUAAAGCUCUAUCAGCAGGGAAGAAAAUGACGGUACCUGAGUAAGAAGCCCCGGCUAACUACGUGCCAGCAGCCGCGGUAAUACGUAGGGGGCAAGCGUUAUCCGGAUUUACUGGGUGUAAAGGGAGCGUAGACGGCAGCACAAGUCUGGAGUGAAAUCCCGGGGCUUAACCCCGUAACUGCUUUGGAAACUGGCGAACUAGAGUGCGGGAGGGGUAAGCGGAAUUCCUAGUGUAGCGGUGAAAUGCGUAGAUAUUAGGAGGAACACCGGUGGCGAAGGCGGCUUACUGGACCGUAACUGACGUUGAGGCUCGAAAGCGUGGGGAGCAAACAGGAUUAGAUACCCUAGUAGUC